GGAUGAACGCUGGCGGCGUGCCUAAUACAUGCAAGUCGAGCGAACAGACGAGGAGCUUGCUCCUCUGACGUUAGCGGCGGACGGGUGAGUAACACGUGGAUAACCUACCUAUAAGACUGGGAUAACUUCGGGAAACCGGAGCUAAUACCGGAUAAUAUAUUGAACCGCAUGGUUCAAUAGUGAAAGACGGUUUUGCUGUCACUUAUAGAUGGAUCCGCGCCGCAUUAGCUAGUUGGUAAGGUAACGGCUUACCAAGGCAACGAUGCGUAGCCGACCUGAGAGGGUGAUCGGCCACACUGGAACUGAGACACGGUCCAGACUCCUACGGGAGGCAGCAGUAGGGAAUCUUCCGCAAUGGGCGAAAGCCUGACGGAGCAACGCCGCGUGAGUGGUGAAGGUCUUCGGAUCGUAAAACUCUGUUAUUAGGGAAGAACAAAUGUGUAAGUAACUAUGCACGUCUUGACGGUACCUAAUCAGAAAGCCACGGCUAACUACGUG
rnacentral:rRNA from 1 species